rnacentral:tRNA from 1 species
AAUAAUAUAGGUUAAAUUUUUAAACCUUGAAGUCUAUGUCUUCAUAAUAUAUUUGUUUUUGUUAUUAUUU